AGCUAAUUUACACAAUUUAACGGAUUCUAACAGAAAAGCACCUAUAAAAGGCCUCAUUUACUAUAGUUUUAUCUAAUGAAAGUGCUCUUAUUCAUUGAGAAUUUAUUGCGCUAAUCUUACAAAACUUUCAUUUAGUACCCUUGAGCUUGAGUGACGAAUCUUCCCUCUCAAUCUUUUAGAAUUUAUUUAUGUAUUUGAAAGUGAUUUCAGCUAUACCAAAAUCUAUUUAAG
rnacentral:misc_RNA from 1 species